GACGAACGCUGGCGGCGUGCUUAACACAUGCAAGUCGAACGCUGAAGCCCUUUCGGGGGUGGAUGAGUGGCGAACGGGUGAGUAACACGUGGGUAAUCUGCCCUGCACUCUGGGAUAAGCCUUGGAAACGGGGUCUAAUACCGGAUAGGACACAUCGCCGCAUGGUGUGUGUGUGGAAAGUUCCGGCGGUGCAGGUUGAGCCCGCGGCCUAUCAGCUUGUUGGUGGGGUGAUGGCCUACCAAGGCGACGACGGGUAGCCGGCCUGUGAGGGUGCGCGGGCACCCUGGGACUGAGACACGGCCCAGACUCCGACGGGAGGCAGCAGUGGGGAAUCUUGCGCAAUGGGCGAAAGCCUGACGCAGCAACGCCGCGUGGGGGAUGACGGCCUUCGGGUUGUAAACCUCUUUCGACCGGGACGAAGGGUGACUGACGGUACCGGUAGAAGAAGCACCGGCUAACUACGUGCCAGCAGCCGCAGUAA
rnacentral:rRNA from 1 species